rnacentral:rRNA from 1 species
UACGUAGGGGGCAAGCGUUGUUCGGAUUUACUGGGCGUAAAGGGCGCGCAGGCGGCAGAUCAAGUCAGACGUGAAAGCCCCGGGCUUAACCUGGGAACUGCGUUUGGGACUGGUUUGCUAGAGAUCGGGAGAGGAGAGUGGAAUUCCCAGUGUAGAGGUGAAAUUCGUAGAUAUUGGGAAGAACACCGGUGGCGAAGGCGGCUCUCUGGGCCGUAACUGACGCUGAGGAGCGAAAGCAUGGGGAGCGAACAGG